rnacentral:lncRNA from 1 species
AUGACGUCAUGUUCACAGACGAAUCAACCGUGGCCCUUGAGCAAUUUGUUCAAAAUUACUACAAAAAACAAAGGAAGAAGUUCAAGCAGGCGGAGUCCCAAGCAUUCGCUCAAACUCCAUGUGUGGGGGACAAUUUCGCACCAGGGAUCAGGCCUAUAUUUGAUUUUUGAUGGUAUCAUGGCUCAAGAUUUCUUUGAGGAAGAAAUCAUCAAGAGAAAUGCUGGACCCUAUGUCAGAGAGGUGUUUCUGGGUACACAUAGUUUCUUUCAAGGUAGGAUUAUAGCAAUAUUUUGUUACAUUUAGGCCUACUUACAUGUAUAUAUCUAAUAUUGGCUAAACAUCUUUUUUUCUUCUCCAAAUGCAGACAAUGACACAAAACACACUGCAGCCCGGGUUUGCAUUGCAAAUGAGGGCAUAACCUGGGUUAAGAUGCCAGCAGAGUAAGUAGACCUUUAUGUAGGAAAUUAAGGUUAAAUACAUUUCUUUAUAAAAGACCUACAACACCUUCGGUAGGACUACAGUAAAUCGUAAAAACGUUUAAAAUAAUCUCUACGUGUAGGUCUCCUGAUUUAAACCCGUUUCAACAUGUUUGGAAUAAACUGAAAUCAUUCAUCCGUAACUGUGCCAAGCCGACAAGCACAGGUGAACUGGUCGAGGCCAUCAAGAUGUUUUGGAUAGAGAAAUUGAUGAUACAACAAAUACAUUGAUCAUCUCAGCAAGGUUUUACCUGUAGUUGUGGAGCUGGGUGGAAGUGCGACUAAAAUGUAGUUCAUAUAAACAUCUGCAUUUGAAUGUCUUUUUUCUCUUUGUUUUAUUAACAAAAGCAUGGCACAUGGGGCGGCAGGGUAGCCUAGUGGUUAGAGCGUUGGACUAGUAACCGGAAGAUUGCAAGUUCAAACCCCUGAGCAGACAAGGUACAAAUCUGUCGUUCUGCCCCUGAACAGGCAGUUAACCCACUGUUCUUAGGCCGUCAUUGAAAAUAAGAAUUUGUUCUUAACUGACUUGCCUGGUUAAAUAAAGGUUAAAUAAAGAUGUUGAUGAAGAAAUACUGUACUGCUGUUUUGAGUUAGAAAUGUAACACUUUAGAGUACUUAUGC